rnacentral:rRNA from 1 species
GGGCCCGCACAAGCAGUGGAGUAUGUGGUUUAAUUCGAAGCAACGCGAAGAACCUUACCAGGGCUUGACAUCCCUCUGACAGGUAUAGAGAUAUACCUUCUUUUCGGAGCAGAGGAGACAGGUGGUGCAUGGUUGUCGUCAGCUCGUGUCGUGAGAUGUUGGGUUAAGUCCCGCAACGAGCGCAACCCUUGUUGUUAGUUGCCAGCAUUAAGAUGGGCACUCUAACGAGACUGCCGGUGAUAAAUCGGAGGAAGGUGGGGACGACGUCAAAUCAUCAUGCCCCUUAUGUCCUGGGCUACACACGUACUACAAUGGCGGUGACAAAGGGAAGCAAAACCGCGAGGUAGAGCAAAUCCCGAAAAGCCGUCCCAGUUCGGAUUGCAGGCUGCAACUCGCCUGCAUGAAGUCGGAAUUGCUAGUAAUGGCAGGUCAGCAUACUGCCGUGAAUACGUUCCCGGGCCUU